rnacentral:tRNA from 1 species
GACUUGGUAGUUAAUAAAUAAUAACAAGUUGCAAACUUGUAGUAGCAGUUUUUGCUCAAGUUU